AGCAUAUCAAUAAGCGGAGGAAAAGAAACCAACAGGGAUUGCCCUAGUAACGGCGAGUGAAGCGGCAACAGCUCAAAUUUGAAAUCUGGCCUAGGCCCGAGUUGUAAUUUGCAGAGGAUGCCUUUGGCGCGGUGCCUUCCGAGUUCCCUGGAACGGGACGCCACAGAGGGUGAGAGCCCCGUAUGGUCGGACACCAAGCCUGUGUAAGGCUCCUUCGACGAGUCGAGUAGUUUGGGAAUGCUGCUCUAAAUGGGAGGUAAAUCUCUUCUAAAGCUAAAUACCGGCCAGAGACCGAUAGCGCACAAGUAGAGUGAUCGAAAGAUGAAAAGCACCUUGAAAAGGGGGUUAAAUAGUACGUGAAAUUGCUGAAAGGGAAGGGCUUGUGACCAGACUUGCGCCGGGCGGCUCACCCUGGGUUCUCCCAGGGGUACUCCGCCCGGCUCAGGCCAGCAUCGGUUCUCGCGGGGGGAUAAGAGCGGUGGGAACGUAGCUCCCCACGGGGAGUGUUAUAGCCCGCCGCACGAUACCUUCGCGGGGACCGAGGACCGCGCUUCGGCAAGGAUGCUGGCGUAAUGGUCAUCAGCCACCCGUCUUGAAACACGGACCAAGGAGUCGUCCAUUAGAGCGAGCGUUUGGGUGUAAAACCCGCACGCGUAAUGAAAGUGAACGCAGGUGAGAGCUUCGGCGCAUCAUCGACCGAUCCUGAAGUUUUCGGAUGGAUUUGAGUAAGAGUUUUACUGGACGGACCCGAAAGACAGUGAACUAUGCUUGUAUAGGGUGAAGCCAGAGGAAACUCUGGUGGAGGCUCGCAGCGGUUCUGACGUGCAAAUCGAUCGUCAAAUAUGAGCAUGG
rnacentral:rRNA from 1 species